GUGGAUGUGCUGCAGUGCAAUAUAUAGUAUAAUAGCCCCUGGGAAAGUGUUUUGGUUUAUGUAUCACAAAAAAUGUGCGAUAACAUUUGGGUCUCUGGGGUGAAGUAUUAGGAUAGAAGGGAGGGUCAAUGCUCCACUCCACAAUUUAAAUACAGCAUAUCAGAUGAAGAAUCCAGCGCAUGAGUUCUGAAUCAUUCAGGUAUUUCCCCACCUGUGAGCAAUGAGCAACAAAUGGCUUUUGAUGAAUUUAUCUAUCAGGGAUUCAGUGGUAGAGAAUACAAGCAGUGAGUGUGAGUGAG